rnacentral:lncRNA from 1 species
UUAAAUAGAUUUUAUUUACAUAUUAUUAAAUAAAAUGUUAGCUUUUAGUAGAUAUAUUGGAAAUAUAGCUUUUCACUAUAAUUAUUGUGUGAAAAGUUGAAAUAAUUUAAUUAAUUAUUUAUUUUGAGUUAAAAAAACAGCUCUCAUGAAGUUGGCAUACUGAUAAAAUUUAGAAGACUUUAUAAGAAUAUAUUUAGAUAUUUGACCUUACUAUAUAUAUAUAUAUAUAUAUAUAUAUAUACAUACAUAUUAUACUGUAUGUAAAACAUUAAUUUCUUCUUAGAAACAAAUCCACAUAUGUUAUCUUGCAUAUGUGCAGACACAUAUAUUGUGUUUAUUAUAUGUAUCUAAUAACUCGAUAAAUUGCAUGUUGGUGCAUGCAUAUAUACCUUCCAAGAAUAUGUUUAGGCACUUAUCCUUACUAUAAGUAAUGUAUUGUAUGGAAAUUAAUUUGUUCCUGAGAAGAAAAACAAAAAAAAAAAAUGUCCUCUUACAUAUAUGUACGCACAUAUAUAUACAUAUGUGUUUAUUUUAAAUAUCUAAUAAUUCGAUAAACUGCAUGUAGGUGCAGUUCUGAAGGUUCAUGCAUGCACCUUUGACAGUUCAAAUAAUUACUAUUAAUUGAACGUGUAGAAAAAUCACAGCAAGAACCCUAAAUAUGCAAAAUAGUUUACAGAGCUCAUAAUAAUUACUCUGUGAAAAGUGAAACAAUUUAACUAAUUAUUUAUUUUGAGAAAAAAAAAAAAACAGCUCUCUUAAAGUUGGCAUAUUGAUGAAAUUUAAAAGACUUUGUAAAAAUAUAUUUAGCCACUUGACCUUACUAUAUAUAUAUGUAUCUAUAUAUUGUAUUGUAUAUAAAUAAAUUUGUUCUUAAAAAAAAAAAAAACCCAACAAUUUUCUCUUGAAAACCCAACAAUUUUCUCCUGCAUAUGUG